AUUGAACGCUGGCGGCAGGCCUAACACAUGCAAGUCGAGCGGUAGAAGAGAGAUUGCUUGCGGAUUCGGGGGGCGACGGGCGGGUGAGUCAUGGGUACAUCGGUGGCUGUGGGGGCGAGGGGGAGAACGCGGGGGAAAUUACAGUAUAACCGCAGACGAUGAAAGUGUGGGAUCAUGGGAUCUUCCGACAUUGCACGAACGAAUGUGGCGAUGUCGGAUUGGUUAGUUGGCGGGGUAAAGGCCCACCAAGGCGACGAUCCGUAGCUGGUCUGAGAGGAUGAUCAGCCACACUGGAACUGAGACACGGUCCAGACUCCUACGGGAGGCAGCAGUGGGGAAUAUUGGACAAUGGGCGAAAGCCUGAUCCAGCCAUGCCGCGUGGGUGAAGAAGGUCUUCGGGUGGUAAAGCCCUUUAGUUGGGAAGGAAGGGCAGUAGGUUAAUACCCUGCUGUUGUGACGGUACCAACAGAAUAAGCACCGGCUAACUUCGUG
rnacentral:rRNA from 1 species